UACGUAGGGUGCGAGCGUUGUCCGGAAUUACUGGGCGUAAAGCGUGUGUAGGCGGCCACGUAAGUCGGAUGUGAAAGCCCCGGGCUCAACCCGGGAAGUGCACUCGAUACUGCGUGGCUUGAGUACUGGAGAGGUUGGUGGAAUUCUCGGUGUAGAGGUGAAAUUCGUAGAUAUCGAGAGGAACACCGGUGGCGAAGGCGGCCAACUGGACAGAUACUGACGCUGAGACACGAAAGCGUGGGGAGCAAACAGG
rnacentral:rRNA from 1 species